rnacentral:rRNA from 1 species
UCCCCCUGUAGUUCUUGCCUGGCUUCCCACUGAUGCUAAGCAAGGUUAAGCCUGAUCAGUACUUGGAUGGGAAACCUCCUGGUGAAAAGUAAAGUUGCUGAUGGAA